rnacentral:rRNA from 1 species
GACGAACGCUGGCGGCGUGCCUAACACGUGCAAGUCGGGCGAAGUGAGUACUACGGUACGAACUUAGCGGCGGACGGGUGAGUAACGCGUGGACAAUCUACCCUGUAGACUGGGAUAACACCUCGAAAGGGGUGCUAAUACCGGAUAAUGUCGAGAAGCGGCAUCGCUUUUCGAAGAAAGGAGAGAAUCCGCUAUAGGAGGAGUCCGCGUCCCAUUAGCUAGUUGGUAAGGGUAACGGCCCACCAAGGCGACGAUGGGUAGCCGGCCUGAGAGGGUGAACGGCCACACUGGAACUGAGACACGGUCCAGACUCCUACGGGAGGCAGCAGUGGGGAAUAUUGUGCAAUGGGGGAAACCCUGACACAGCAACGCCGCGUGAGCGAAGAAGGCCUUCGGGUUGUAAAGCUCAAUAGUAUGGGAAGAUAAUGACGGUACCAUACGAAAGCCCCGGCUAACUACGUGCCAGCCGCCGCCGUAAAAC